GAUGAGAACGCAGCGAAAUGCGAUAAGUAAUGUGAAUUGCAGAAUUCAGUGAAUCAUCGAAUCUUUGAACGCACAUUGCGCCCCUUGGUAUUCCGAGGGGCAUGCCUGUUCGAGCGUCAUUAUAACCCCUCAAGCUCAGCUUGGUGUUGGGGCCUGCUGCACUGGCAGCCCUUAAAAUCAGUGGCGGCGCCAUCUGGCUCUAAGCGUAGUAAUUCUUCUCGCUAUGGAGUCCUGGUGGAUGCUUGCCAUCAACCCCCAAUUUUUCUAUGGUUGACCUCGGAUCAGGUAGGGAUACCCGCUGAACUUAAGCAUAUCAAAAGCGGAGGA
rnacentral:misc_RNA from 1 species